rnacentral:rRNA from 1 species
CCUACGGGAGGCAGCAGUGGGGAAUAUUUGGCAAUGGGCGCAACCCUGAUGCAGCAACGCCGCGUGAGGGAAGAAGGCUUUCGGGUUGUAAACCUCUUUUAAGAGGGAAGAGCAGAAGACGGUACUUCUUGAAUAAGCCACGGCUAACUACGUCCCAGCAGCCGCGGUAAGACGUAGGUGGAAAGCGUUUUCCGGAUUUACUGGGUGUAAAGGGCGUGUAGCCGGGCUGACAAGUCAGAUGUGAAUUCCCGUGGCUCAACCACGGAACUGCAUUUGAAACUGUCGGUCUUGAGUAUCGGAGAGGCAGGCGGAAUUCCUAGUGUAGCGGUGAAAUGCGUAGAUAUUAGGAGGAACACCAGUGGCGAAGGCGGCCUGCUGGACGACAACUGACGGUGAGGCGCGAAAGCGUGGGGAGCAAACAGGAUUAGAUACCCGGGUAGUC